rnacentral:rRNA from 1 species
UACGAAGGGGGCGAGCGUUGUUCGGAUUUACUGGGCGUAAAGGGCGCGUAGGCGGCCAGCACAAGUCAGUUGUGAAAUCUCCGAGCUUAACUCGGAAAGGUCAACUGAUACUGUGCGGCUAGAGUGCGGAAGGGGCAACUGGAAUUCCCGGUGUAGCGGUGAAAUGCGCAGAUAUCGGGAGGAACACCGGUGGCGAAGGCGGUUCUCUGGGCCUGACCUGACGCUGAGGAGCGAAAGCGUGGGGAGCGAACAGG